rnacentral:rRNA from 1 species
UACGUAGGGUGCAAGCGUUGUCCGGAAUUAUUGGGCGUAAAGAGCUCGUAGGCGGUCUGUCGCGUCUGCUGUGAAAAUCCAGGGCUCAACCCUGGACCUGCAGUGGGUACGGGCAGACUAGAGUGCGGUAGGGGAGAUCGGAAUUCCUGGUGUAGCGGUGAAAUGCGCAGAUAUCAGGAGGAACACCGGUGGCGAAGGCGGAUCUCUGGGCCGUAACUGACGCUGAGAAGCGAAAGCGUGGGGAGCGAACAGG